GUAAGGGCGAUGCCCGGCGACGGGGUGGGUCACAGAGAGAAAGAGAGAGAAAGAAAGAGAGAGAGAGAGGUGAAGGCUUCUAGGGCUAGAGAGAGAAUGAGGGUGGGGUGUAACCUUGGGCGACAGAGGGCGGCAUCGGCGGCGGCGGCAUAGUGAGAGUGAGAGGAAGAGAGAGAUGUUAGAGAGAGCAAGAGGGGUGGUGGGUGUUCUCGGUGGGUUAAGGGCGUCGUCGGCGUUGCCGACGGCGACGUAGUGGGUCACAGAGAGAAAGAGAGAAAGAGAGAGAGAGAGGUGGGGGCUUCUAGGGCUAGAGAGAGAAUGAGAGUGGGGUGUAACCUUGGGCGACAGAGGGCGGCAUCGGCGACGGCGGCAUCGGCGACGGCGGCGGCGGCGUCGGCCAGAGAGAGAGAGCGAGAGGANAGAGUGGGGUGUAACCUUGGGCGACAGAGGGCGGCAUCGGCGACGGCGGCAUCGGCGACGGCGGCGGCGGCGUCGGCCAGAGAGAGAGAGCGAGAGGAAAAGAGCGAGAGAGAGAGAGAGAGCAAGAGAGAGUUGGGGGGAAGAGGAAGGCAGCUCGCAGGGUUGUAUUCAAAGAGAACACGGUGAUUGAUUCACCCUGGACACGGGGAAUCAAUCACCGCGUCUAGACACGGUGAAUCAAUCACCGCGUCUGGACACGGUGAACCAUUCACCGU
rnacentral:lncRNA from 1 species